CAUCUGUAAACCCAGAUAUUUUUAAUAAUUGAUGUUGUGUCUCGUUUUUAUCCUGGCCUCCAUUCUUGGACUAAGUAUAAAAUCCUGCGGGAUUUUGUGGGAUUUGAGUUUUUAAAAGUGGGAGUUUUUAAGAACAGGGACGUUUAGGGCUAGCUGCUGCAGCUUUUGGCUUUCCUUCGUUUUAAAUCGUUUUAAAUGAUUAGUUUUUCAUUUUUGAACAUAUUUUUUACCGACAUGCCUUGUAGUUUCUAGACGCAUCUGAUCUUUAAAAGAAUUGGUUUUCCUGAGCUUAGAAAUGGGAAGAAACGAACAGCUUCUCUAUCUGAUGUUUCUGGCCUGAACGCAGAUGAUGGACGUCCAGCUGAGACCAACAGCAAAGCUUCAGUCAGGAGCAUCUAAUGGGCCGCCGACUGGAAACACAGACUGUUAGAAAGAGAAGAAAACAUCUUUACGCCGUUUUUCUGAUUCACUUCGUUGGAGGUCCAACGUUUCCGCCGUGAUGAGAAAAGAUGAAACCUGAGUAAAUACUGAAAAUACGAUUUAUUUAGAAGGAAAGGAAAUAUUUCCAAACCAACCGAGUGAAAAAUCUAACCAGGUCAUCCAGAUACUGAAGCAGAAAAGCAGGCCCAGACCAUCAUACUGCCACCACCGUGUUUCACUGCUGUUGCUCUGAAAUGCUGCAGAUGUAACGGGACCAGAACCUUCCUGGAAGGCCCAGUUGGUCCCAUCAGUCCCAUUAUAUUAUAUUAUAUUAUAUUAUAUUAUAUUAUAUUAUAUUAUAUUAUAUUAUAUUAUAUUAUAUUAUAUUUUCCACAAGCGUUUGAGAUCCUCAAGAUGAUUUCUGUUAAAUGUGAGACGGGCCUCCAUGUUCUUUUGGGUCAGCAGUGGUUCUGGAGUUUAGUCCAGUCUCUCUUUCUCAUUGUUGAAUCAUGACCUUUGACCUUAACAGAAGUGAUUUGUGACCCUUUCCAGAGCGGAGGUGAAGCGGAUCCAGGUCCAGUUUGUUACUUUCUGAAGCUUUUCUAGCCUACUUCAUGUUGUGAGACGGGCUCUAUUUAAAUGAUCGGUGACAUCCUUAAAUGUUCGUUAAAUGUGGUUAUGUAUAUUUCCUUAUUUUGGAUGGUUUGGCAUUACUUGUGUAGAAAAUAAACUGAACUAUUGUGAGUUU